GGCAAGAAUGAUCGCGGUCGACUGCACUGAACCGUUCAGCUGCAUGUCAGCAACAGUAAAAAGAAAUAAAGAAAGAAAAAGUAAAAUAUUCAACCCUAUAUAUUAUACCCCCUUCAAUAAUCGGAAUUACGGUCCCGAUGAUUGCAUUCGAUCGCGGAAUCGUCAACCGAUUGGGGGCUAAACACACUAAAGCCAUCACGAGUACUUUGUUUACUUUGGAGAGAAUAAGGGGUGAAGUGUUUGUGUGUGUUCCCGCUUUAUAAAGCGGGCUUUGUCGUUCCUAUCAAUAUUGUCGUUCCUCUUCACAGCACAGUCCCCAUUAUCACACCCGGUUUUGAUCCGUACCCUGACCCCUGAGAGCAGGACGAUCGUCGCCCAUCGCCGCUUUGCAUAUGCGCAAAAAGUAUUCAAAUGGGAACAGGCGAGCGGUUCUUCCAUAAGGGAAAACCCAACUGCGCGUGUAGCGACUGUGCAGGGGACGAAAGUCAUCGAUCAGCAUGUUGUGCCCAUUAAACUGACCCACCGUAAGUGCCGUCGGGGGCAACCGCUCGAGGUUCUUGCUGAUAGUGUUCCGCUGCACCGGCUUAAAUCCACUUCCGUUCCACUCGACCGCCGUCGGAUCGGUCUCGCCGGGAUCGAUCGGGGCUAACGGAUUGUCGCCGAACACGGCAAUGUACUCGGGCGAGCGGACAAUUUUCAGUAUUUGCAUCAACGCCACCACACAGGCCCAUAGGUAGAACAGCAGUACUGUGGCAACAAAUCAAACUGGAUAAGACGAAUUGCUCCAUUUCAACUUCUCAUUACACUACUUACACAAAGCAAAUCCACCGGCAAUGGUGAGAGCUAUAAGGUAGCCCACGUUAAUGGAUUUUUUAAUCACCAUCAUUCCGAUCACGUGGGUCAGUGUGAUGCAGGACAGUCUCGCCAGCUCCACCACUAUGAACGGCACUAGAAGGUAGCGUUUCAUCUGCAACGACACAAGCAUAGGGAAAAUCACUUAAAUUACUUUUUCGUUCAAAACCUUCCCUUUUCAAAACCUAAACUCACAUAAUAUGCACCCACCAUCAUUGUACCGCAGCAGGGCAGGUACAGCGCCAUGCCGAUCAUAAUCAGUGUGUAGAACAUUCCAGCCUCUGUUUUGCACACCCCAAUCAACCAGACGAACACAUCGUCCGGGUUGUACAGGUGCAUGUUUUCCUCGUAGUACAAUGCUUCUUGCUCUAAAAAUUGACCACCACCCAAUGCUGCCAGCGCUAUCAUCGUUACGAUUGUUUCUAGCUGCAUCGAGCCACAAGAUAAGCAAAGAAAAUGGACAAUUUCGCGAUUUAUAAAUAGGCUUUCAGGCACAACGAAUGUGUCUCAGUGAUGCUUACUAUACAGAAUCCUCCAACAAUGAUUGAACCGAGGCGUACGGACAGUCGAAAACAGAACAGCCUCAUCAGAACCAUACUGCUGCGGACAGGGAGCGUGCGUUUGUACUGCGUUCGCUUUCUGCCACCGGGGCAAAGGAUCGGGUUGCGUGCGGCUGGGCAAUUAGGGGUGGAUCGUUGGGUGUUUGGGCUCAUUAAAACCGUAAGUGUCCUUUUGUGUCCCAUGAUUGGGCGUGUAAUUAGCGACGGAAAACUGAUAUGAUGUCUAUCAGCAUUUCUUUUGCAAUAUAAUUGUUUUUGGAUGCACAUUAACUUCUAUCACAAGUCAAAGAGCGAUUAAAAUAAAUAUUUCUAUAUUUGGAUCGAUUAUUAA